rnacentral:lncRNA from 1 species
CGCCCCAGGCCCGAGCGAGGCGCCGCGGGAGGAAUUCCAGCCAUUUCCUCUGCGCCGCGCGGUAUGUGGCCUGCUCGCUGCCCGACCGCAGCGCGCCCGGGAGGUUGGGGCCGGGCGGCGCGGGCCAGUCACCAGCCGCGUCUGGCAGCUGCCCGGGCCCCGCUGUCCCGCUCAGGAUUCCCGGCCAGCCGCCCCUGUCCCGGGCCACCAAACCAGCCGUUCCAACAGCCCGGGCCUGCGCGACGCCCCCGGUUCCGUUCCUCUCCUCUCCUCUCCCCGCCCCGCGGGGCCGCUCUCUCGCCUUCUGUGUUUCCCCGCUGCGCCCCCUCCCAGCCCGCCGCCGGCCCUCUGGAGUCCCCAGAAUCUGAGUUUGAAACUGAAGUUGGCACCUGCUGCGUCACCUUCGGCCAGAGUCCCAAGGCCAAGAACAGCCCUUGCAGCAAGAUGUGCGCCCCUCAUUCCUCACAAACGCUACAGCCACAGACCGCAUAAAUCCAGAUGAGGAAGCCGGUACCCAGCUGGCAGAAGAGAGGUUUGAACUCAGGGAUCUGACUCCACUGGUCAUGACUUGAACUUCUGCUGGGGGAUAAUCAAUUCUGAUGGCCUUUCUGACCAUCAGUGGAAACAAGUCCACCGCAGUCUUUAACUGCCUUUAACAGCAAAGAAGACAUUCCUGCAACACUCACCUGCACCUAGCAGAUCUGAGUGCAACCUCAUUAAACUGAGUGGCCUCAGGGGACCAACUCCAAGACCCCAGUGAAUGGAGGAACAAACUGUCCAUAGAAAUAAGAUUCUAAAUGGACUGGAUAUAAGUCACCAAUGUCAGGGUCAGCCCUGGACCAGCCCUUCCUGUGUGAUUUCAGGACCACAUGGAGGCCCAAGUGGCCUUUUUACUAAAAAUCAACCGUUAAAGAAUCAGAUGUGUGUUUAUAUAGGUCACUGGUAACUCACUUUGGACCACUGGCCCAAGACAUAUUUUGUCUGACUUUCAUAGCUUUUUUUUUUUUAUUUGAGAGAGACAGAGACAGCAUGAGUGGGGGAAGGGCAGAGAGAGAGAGAGAGAGAGAGAGAGAGAGAGAGAGAGAGAAGAGAGAGAGAGAGAGAGAGAGAGAGAGAGAGAGAGAGAAUCCCAAGCAGGCUCCAAACUGCCAGCACAGAGCCCAACUCUGGGCUCAAACUCAUGAAACCAAGAGUUGGACACUCAACCAAUGGAGCCACCCAGCUGCCCCAUCCUAGUAUUUUUAUUUAAGUUAACUACCAAACAUUUAAAAUUGGAAGGUUGGGGCGCCUGGGUGGCGCAGUCGGUUAAGCGUCCGACUUCAGCCAGGUCACGAUCUCGCGGUCCGGGAGUUCGAGCCCCGCAUCGGGCUCUGGGCUGAUGGCUCAGAGCCUGGAACCUGUUUCCGAUUCUGUGUCUCCCUGUCUCUCUGCCCCUCCCCCGUUCAUGCUCUGUCUCUCUCUGUCCCAAAAAUAAAUAAAUGUUGAAAAAAAAAUUUUUAAAAAUA